UGCAUGUGUAAUAACAAAAGAACAUAGUAUAUUACCCUGGCUAUCAUAUAUUUUGAAUAACAAAAUUGGUUUCCGUUCUCUCACUUUAGUUGAUCUUAAAGCCAAACGUUAUGAAACUUAUACACAAACACACUACUUAUUACCACAAAACAAACACAGGGUCAAGUUUGAAUUUUGGUGGCGUCACUUAAACCGUUCUAGAGUUAUGUUCCUGUAUAACGUUAUAUGAUAACAGAGGCAUUAUCUGUGUCCCAAGGACACAUUUCUCCAUUUAAUUACUUUUUAUCCAAGAACCAGAGUUACCUUAUAUCUCUUUAUUCACAAACUGGACUUGUAUGAUUUAUACUGUAUAUGAUACUUUUAUGUAUGUUCUAAUGUAAAUUGUUUAAGGAAUGACUGUAAUAUUUUUUCUGUCCAAUAUGAAGAAAUAACAUAAAAAAUGUGGCGCACACUGAAGAAACCGCGUUGCGGGUUAUUUAAAGUAUGCACUACAUUUUUAUGUUAUUUCGAAUAGGCAGAAAAAA
rnacentral:lncRNA from 1 species